rnacentral:ncRNA from 2 species
UAAACUCGCACGCACUCUGGUGCUCGCGCGCGCUUUCUGCUCGCGCAGUUAAACGGGAAAUAGCAGGCCCCUCGUGUUGUCUCGAGUCGUCACAGGGCCAAGCUGUGCUGCUCCCCGCAACGGUAGGUGAAGGCAUCGCGAAGUCGAUGCGGAGCCGUCUCGCUGCAUGUGUGUCCAACAGCGGCCCAUGCAGAUCAUCCACUGCGCGAAAACGCUCGCGCGGGAAGGAGAGGCGGCGCUUUCAUCAGCCCGGAUACCGGCCCGAGAAAACGACGCAAC